rnacentral:ncRNA from 1 species
CUAUUUACAUUGAUUGAGCACAGUAGUAAAAAGAAUGUUGUCCCCAGAAAGCUAGUGGCUGAUGAAAACUAGUACAAUUCUUUUUUGCGAAUUACACUCAUGAGUACCUUGAUUAACCUCAAGCGUUUAACUGGCGUUAACAGUUUACGAGUGGUCAGCAAUUAUGUCUUUAUAAUUGUCGGCAAAUUGGGUGGUAACACGAAAUGAUUCGUCCCGAUG